GCCUAUUUACAGGAACUGAGGAACAAUAUGUAGGUCUACAGAACUUGAUACAGAGAAAUGAGCAGCUGUUUAGUACGGGAAAUGCACCAAAUGGAGGCAUUGCAUUACCAUUUAUUCUGGUUCAGACCCGGCCACAUGCAACUGUUGAGGUUGAAAUAUCAGAAGAUAUGCAGCUUGUGCAUUUUGAUUUCAACAGGUACAGCCAU